UACAGAGGAUGCAAGCGUUAUCCGGAAUGAUUGGGCGUAAAGCGUCUGUAGGUGGCUUUUUAAGUCCGCCGUCAAAUCCCAGGGCUCAACUCUGGACAGGCGGUGGAAACUACCAAGCUGGAGUACGGUAGGGGCAGAGGGAAUUCCUGGUGUAGCGGUGAAAUGCGCAGAUAUCAGGAAGAACACCAAUGGCGAAAGCAGCUCUCUGGGACGGUACUGACGCUGAGACGCGAAAGCGUGGGGAGCGAACAGG
rnacentral:rRNA from 1 species